rnacentral:ncRNA from 1 species
AAUGCUGCUAUUUUCCGCUUCUUUUUUUACUUUCGCACCUGAUUCGGGGGCUUUCUGCGUAAGAAAAGAAACGGAAAAUACGCUAAAGGCCUCCUUUUAGGAGGCCUUUUUUU